GAGGGUGUAGCUUAGUGGUAGAGUGCAUGCCUAGCAUGCACGAGGUCCUGGGUUCAAUCCCCAGCGCCUCCA
rfam:Camelus ferus unplaced genomic scaffold scaffold1890, whole genome shotgun sequence.